rnacentral:rRNA from 1 species
GAAUUUUAUAUAAAUUUAUUAAGUAUUUAUUAGUUUUAUAUUUUAAAUAAUAAAAGUUUAUAUUUAGUUGGGAGGAUUAUUAAAUUAUUAAAACUUUAAUUAAGAGUAAAUAGACAUAAAUUAAUGAUAAUAUAAUUAAUGAUGAGAUAUUAUUAAAUUAAAGAAGAAUAAAUUACCUUAGGGAUAACAGCGUAAUAUUUUUAGAGAGUUCAUAUUAAUAAAAAUGUUUGC